UACGAAGGUCCCGAGCGUUGUUCGGAAUCACUGGGCGUAAAGGGCGCGUAGGCGGCCUGGUAAGUCAGAUGUGAAAUCCCGGGGCUCAACCCCGGAACUGCAUCCGAUACUGCCUUGCUUGAGGGUUGGAGAGGUGACUGGAAUUCUCGGUGUAGCAGUGAAAUGCGUGGAUAUCGAGAGGAACACUCGUGGCGAAAGCGAGGCACUGGACAACAACUGACGCUGAGGCUCGAAGGCUAGGGGAGCAAAAGGG
rnacentral:rRNA from 1 species